GACGAACGCUGGCGGCGUGCUUAACACAUGCAAGUCGAGCGGUAAGGCCCUUUCGGGGGUACACGAGCGGCGAACGGGUGAGUAACACGUGGGUGACCUGCCCUCAGCUCUGGGAUGAGCCCGGGAAACUGGGUCUAAUACCGGAUAUGACUCCAUGACGCAUGUUGUGGGGUGGAAAGCCUUGUGCGGCUGAGGAUGGGCCCGCGGCCUAUCAGCUUGUUGGUGGGGUGAUGGCCUACCAAGGCGACGACGGGUAGCCGGCCUGAGAGGGCGACCGGCCACACUGGGACUGAGAUACGGCCCAGACUCCUACGGGAGGCAGCAGUGGGGAAUCUUGCGCAAUGGGCGAAAGCCUGACGCAGCGACGCCGCGUGAGGGAUGACGGCCU
rnacentral:rRNA from 1 species